UGAACAAAGUCAACAAAGUUAAUAUAUCAAAUUAAUUAUAUCACGAAUACGAUACGUUUGAACUUUAGAUGGCUGCGGUGUCACUGCGAUAUGUCUGCUCUCGGCGUCGUAUGCGCGUGAAACGGAACGACCUGAGCCCUCAAAACCUGAAGUCUUCAAUAUUAAUUUUCCCCGUCAAGCUCACUUUUAUAGUUAUAAUAUCAUACAUAAAGUGCAAGUACGUCUUUAUUACACAACCAUAAAUCUUAAAC